UACGUAGGGUGCAAACGUUGUUCGGAAUCACUGGGCCUAAAGAGCGCGUAGGCGGUCUGAUAAGUCUUGUGUGAAAGCCCCCGGCUCAACCGGGGAAUUGCACUGGAUACUGUCGGGCUAGAGUACAGGAGGGGAGAGCGGAAUUCCUGGUGGAGCGGUGAAAUGCGUAGAUAUCGGGAGGAACAUCAGUGGCGAAGGCGGCCUUCUGGUCCAGUACUGACACUCAAGUGCGAAAGCGUGGGGAGCAAACAGG
rnacentral:rRNA from 1 species